GAUGAACGCUGGCGGCGUGCCUAAUACAUGCAAGUCGAGCGAACAGACGAGGAGCUUGCUCCUCUGACGUUAGCGGCGGACGGGUGAGUAACACGUGGAUAACCUACCUAUAAGACUGGGAUAACUUCGGGAAACCGGAGCUAAUACCGGAUAAUAUAUUGAACCGCAUGGUUCAAUAGUGAAAGACGGUUUUGCUGUCACUUAUAGAUGGAUCCGCGCCGCAUUAGCUAGUUGGUAAGGUAACGGCUUACCAAGGCAACGAUGCGUAGCCGACCUGAGAGGGUGAUCGCCCCACCGGGAACGGAGACCGGGCCGAGCGCCAGAGGGAGGGAGCAAGUGGGAAAGUUCCCGAAGGGGGCGAAGCCCGGAGGGAGCAGCCCGGGGUGAGGAAGAAGGGUGUGCGUACCGAAAAAUUUUUUUAUGGGGAAAAAAAAAAGGGUAAAGAACCUAGCCCUGUCUUCAGGCCACCAAAUAGGAAACCAAGGGCAAACCAGGUC
rnacentral:rRNA from 1 species